AGCAGCCGCGGUAAUUCCAGCUCCAAUAGCGUAUAUUAAAGUUGUUGCAGUUAAAAAGCUCGUAGUUGAAUUUCGGGAUCAGUUGGUCGGUCGUGCCUCGGUACGUACUGGUCAAAUUGAUUCCUACCUUCUGACGAACCGCGAUGUCAUUAAUUUGGUGUCGCGGGAAAUCAGGACUGUUACUUUGAAAAAAUUAGAGUGUUUAAAGCAGGCUCGCGCUUGAAUACAUUAGCAUGGAAUAAUGAAAUAGGACGUUUGAUUCUAUUUUGUUGGUUUCUAGGAUCGACGUAAUGAUUAAUAGGGAUAGUUGGGGGCAUUAGUAUUCAAUUGUCAGAGGUGAAAUUCUUGGAUUUAUUGAAGACUAACUACUGCGAAAGCAUUUGCCAAGGAUGUUUUCAUUAAUCAAGAACGAAAGUUAGGGGAUCGAAGACGAUCAGAUACCGUCGUAGUCUUAACCAUAAACUAUGCCGACUAGGGAUCGGAUGAUGUUAAUUUUUUAAUGACUCAUUCGGCGCCUUAC
rnacentral:misc_RNA from 1 species